AUAUUUCAAUGGAUUUUAUACAAUAUUAUUGACGCUCAUCGAGCGCUCGUUCAAAGGGAAACAAAAUAGGUAUCAAUGUAUCGGACGUCUAGUGCCUCUUCACAUCUUUCCGUGCUUUUUGGUAUUUUUAUACAGAUGUCGAAAUACAACUUUUUCACCAGAUCAAUUUCACUCGGGUUCAAAAAGUGAUCUUCAAAAAAUCAAAAACAGGAAAAAAUUAUCAUCGUGUUCGUUCCUCUUUUUUAUUUCUCGCUCUUAAAUAACCGGAUUAAUAGAUGCGAUUAAAGAUGAAAUUUCCUUACGAAAUCGAUGCGCCAACCUACGAAACGGUAAACGGUGGCCUAAUCUUGAAUAACUAUACGAAAUGCUUGAAAGUUGCCAGUAAUAUCACCGUCGAACCCGUCUUUCUUCCUCUUAUCUGACGUUUCACCGAAACUAAUCUCAGCGUACGUUUCAGAUAACGCUCCGAACGACACGUCUGGUCCACCGUAUAGUCGCAACAAAUUCACCUCGGUUCUCUCGUUCAAUUAACUCUUGACCUCUUUCGAAGGGGACUUGGAAAAUUCGUUGAUUAAAAACUUUGUUUAUGACACGAGAUAUCCGCGCGAGUGGCUAUCAAAAAUGAAAGCUUCAAAAUCACGUUCUCGCGAUUUAUCCGCUCCAUUGGUUCUUCGUUGGCGCAACAAAAACUCCAAAAGCAUCCUAAUCUUUUGGUAAUGCACCGAGCCAAUCGAACUCUGACAAUAAGACCGGCCACUUUGCUCUCGUCAAUUUGUCGGUCGACAGCGGCCAUCGCGAGCCAAACGUUUAUGACGCUUUUAACGCAAAGUCGUAAAUAUUUGUUCAAUUGAGUUGCGUUCUUGCGACGCAGCAAGUUUUUUUCCAACUCGUAUACAAGUUCGUAAUCGUAAAAGAGUUACAUAAUCGCGAGUUCCUUCUAUUCUUCGCUGUUCCAACGAUUUUCAUCUCAGCGAUUUUGUAAAGAGCGUUGCUGCUGAUUGAUUCUCGGUGGGAAAGUGUUAUUCACAGCAAUCGUUUCUACCAAACAGGUACUUGGCACGGCAAACUCUCUUUACAGAUACCCAGCCAGCAUUCUAUUCCAUCGAACGAUAAAAACAACGCGAAACUAAUCGGAGCGGACCCAGCGAACGAAAUGAGACGAGCAACGUAACAAAGAAAAAUCGUUCGGUUGUUAUUCGCGUGACGCAGCAGAAAGAUAUUAGGCGGUCGGGAGGUUGUAUAAAACGCGGGCCGACGGAAUGAUAAUGUAAUAAGUGGCGGUGAUAAGGAAAACUAGUUUGGCCGGACGAGAAGCGCCCUGGGAAAUUGGUGGGUCAGCAAAGGAAAAUCGCUGAGCAGAAGCGAAAACGGAAAAGAGGAAAGAGCAGAGCAGAGGAGGAGGAUGGUGGUGAAUGUAAUGGAUAUCGAAUCGAGUACGCGGUGACCAAGCAACGAAUCAAAUCCAUUUGCUCGUCACCAUGUCGUUAAGUUAUAAUUGCACGCUCCGCUCCGAUCGAUUGGUGCUCUUUCUUCUGUUCACUAUUUUCUCAGCUAAGGGUCGUUGAAAACGAUCGGCCGCGAUAAAGCGUGCUCCAUAAGAAGAAGAAUUACGCGGGCAGUCGUUGAUACACAGCUAGAUACCGAGGCUAAGAGAAAGAGAGAUGAAGCUGAAUGGAUUUCUAGUAAGCUCCGUAAGGAAUAUCGGAGGCGUCUUAUCUGCGACGAUAUUUAUAACCGGGAAGCCCGAUCCUCUCUCUUGCCAAUUUACGUUGCAUCCUCGAAAUUGCCAGCUAGCAAUUACUCAGACGUACUGACGUAAGAAUGAAGAAUAAACGAGUAGGUUUAUCGAGUAUCUACCAGGAUCCAGAUUUUCUCGUCUUCAGCAACGAAAUUUCAACCGGGGAAACUAUUAUCUCGGCUACGGAUGAACAGAGAGAGAGAGAGAGAGAAAGAGAGAGAAAAAUUUGUUUGCGUUAACGGUGGCAAUUUAACCUUGAAAUAAAAUUAUUCUAGCUAUUGGCUGGCGGGCAUUCAGAUAUUUUGAUCGAUUUGUAAUAACAACGUGCAAAGCAAUUUUACCAUAGCGACAAAAUAUCUCUGAGCGUAAGCGACGUUUCAAAAGCGAAACAUUGAAACGUAAACGUUGGUCUGUUUUUCCGUUAAUGGGAGUGAGUAAUGGAAGUACAAGGAAAUUUGUGAAAUCAAGUUGCAUUACACGUGGAUCGUACACGAGAUACAAAAUUGGAGAGCAUCAUCCUUGAGAAUUGUUAGACUAUUUGGACCUUGGACUCCGGCCCAAUUAGACUAUGCACACGUUCAAGCUUGCUUUUAGCCAAAAUUUGAUCUCUAUUUAGAGAUUACGUUGCCAGACCUUUGUACUUACGAACACCAUUUCAGAUUCUUCGCGUAUAAAUUGCACGGGUCGAAUUGCCAGUUCCUUUCUUAACGAAAUUUAAUUUCAAGCGUUCAACUCCUACGUUAAUUGCACUAGCGAUUAUAAACUAUCAAACAAUGUUGCGUCAAAUAAUUAUAUUUACGGAUAUACAUAAUUUUGUAUCAAGGCUACUUAUACCAAUACCAGUCAAAACGACCGGUACUUGUCAAAGCGUAAAAGGGUCCUGCAAUCUGUAUAUCGAACCCCAAUUAGCCAGUUCUCUCGUUUCGUACAACUACCCACACGUUAUCAAAGUUUUUGCUGCGUAUCAUUCGAUAUGAUGAUACCAGUUAUCAGGAAAAUUCCGGAUCGAUCGCCAGAUCGCUAGAUGCUAACACUAGAAAUACCACAGCAGUCAAAAUGACUGGUUCUACAAUUUUAUAAAUAUACCAACCCUCCUUUAGGGAUGAUGGUCGUAGAUGGAUUAAUACUACCAAAAAUGUGCUACAUAACAUGGAAUUUCUUCUGUAAGAAAGUAAUAAAUCAAUAAAUAUAAAAAUACUCUAUUAUUA